rnacentral:lncRNA from 1 species
UUUUUCUAUCUUAGUUCAUUGCAUUUAUAAUUCCUCAUGUUUGUUUUAAUGUUGCGUAAGCUUUCGAAACAAUGAAACCUGAUUUUGGUGGUGUGAUGGAGUGAUUUUUAACCUCUUUUUGGCCAUAAGAAAGGUCUUAUAUCAAAUGGUAACCUCUUGUAGUGAUCUCACAAUAUGAUAUUUAAAUAUAAAUAAAACAAGGAUAUCCUAAGUUAGUUAUUCAGCUAUUGUUAGUUCAUACCGUUUGGUAGUUGUCCAUAAAGGUAGGUUGUUGUAUUAUGUGCAGCUGAAUGUAGAUCAAAUUGUAAUUACAAAAGUUCAUUGCACAUGUUCUUUGACCACACAUGUCUCCUUUUUCACUUAAACCUUCCCAUUGUGUUUUGUCCACUCAUCCCCUCCUCUUUCUCUUUCUUUCUAUUUCUCGUUACCCCUCUUUGAUUCUUUCUUCUAUCUCACCCAAAUUCCAUAUCACAAUGGUAAUAAAGAAAGCUAAGUCUGACUUAUACCUCUAAUACCAUAUCAC